rnacentral:lncRNA from 10 species
CAAAGAGCAAUACAGAGAGUUGCCAAAAUUCACACCGCUGGUCCAGGUUUGAAGCAAGCAAUCUGUACCUGCAGUCCUUGUCUGUAACCAUGGCACCCUGGCUUCUCACACAUCUCAUCGUGGAGUUCCACCAUGUGUCAGGCAUGGCACUGAGCACCUUCUUUUAAGAAUAUAAUUUGUAAUUAUGUAGAUUCUUAAUUCUACUUCAAAAUGCCACACAGCCUUCAUGUGAUAAAAUGAAACAAUUGCUCAACUGAUCUCCUGGGAUCUCUACUAAGAUGUUGGCAGCCCGGUCAGCUGGUCUGGCCCUGGACGUGCCUUCAGGGUCUGGUUAUGCUUCAUGACCUGCAUUGUGGUCAGUGCCAUUUUGCAGACUUUGAUCACAGUGAAACGUUCCAUGGGAACUUGGGCCAUGAGAAACAUCCUUCCUAACCACGUGACUGCAGAAACAUCCUUAUCACAUCCUCCUGGGCAAAGGCCCAACAGCCUGACUGCAGGGACAUCCUUGCCAUAUCCUGCUGGGCAGCAAGCUCUACCACCCAGAUCCCUCCCUCCCAGUCCCAUGAUUACCCCAGCCUGUGAGUGGCAGUUGGUUCUGGCACUAAGCUGGUUUCCUCCUCCCCAGGGUUUUGCUGGCAAUAAAGAUGUUGCUGUUGAAGCCAC